AGUCGAACGAGCAAUUAAAUGAAGUUUUCGGAUGGAUUUUUGAUUGACUGAGUGGCGGACGGGUGAGUAACGCGUGGAUAACCUGCCUCACACUGGGGGAUAACAGUUAGAAAUGACUGCUAAUACCGCAUAAGCGCACAGUACCGCAUGGUACGGUGUGAAAAACUCCGGUGGUGUGAGAUGGAUCCGCGUCUGAUUAGCCAGUUGGCGGGGUAACGGCCCACCAAAGCGACGAUCAGUAGCCGACCUGAGAGGGUGACCGGCCACAUUGGGACUGAGACACGGCCCAAACUCCUACGGGAGGCAGCAGUGGGGAAUAUUGCACAAUGGGCGAAAGCCUGAUGCAGCGACGCCGCGUGAGUGAAGAAGUAUUUCGGUAUGUAAAGCUCUAUCAGCAGGGAAGAAAAUGACGGUACCUGACUAAGAAGCCCCGGCUAACUACGUGCCAGCAGCCGCGGUAAUACGUAGGGGGCAAGCGUUAUCCGGAUUUACUGGGUGUAAAGGAAGCGUAGACGGCGAAGCAAGUCUGAAGUGAAAACCCAGGGGCUCAACCCUGGGACUGCUUUGGAAACUGUUUUGCUAGAGU
rnacentral:rRNA from 1 species